rnacentral:rRNA from 1 species
GAUGAACGCUGGCGGCGUGCCUAAUACAUGCAAGUCGAGCGAACGGACGAGAAUCUUGCUUCUCUGAUGUUAGCGGCGGACGGGUGAGUAACACGUGGAUAACCUACCUAUAAGACUGGGAUAACUUCGGGAAACCGUAGCUAAUACCGGAUAAUAUUUUGAACCGCAUGGUUCAAAAGUGAAAGACGGUCUUGCUGUCACUUAUAGAUGGAUCCGCGCUGCAUUAGCUAGUUGGUAAGGUAACGGCUUACCAAGGCAACGAUGCAUAGCCGACCUGAGAGGGUGAUCGGCCACACUGGAACUGAGACACGGUCCAGACUCCUACGGGAGGCAGCAGUAGGGAAUCUUCCGCAAUGGGCGAAAGCCUGACGGAGCAACGCCGCGUGAGUGAUGAAGGUCUUCGGAUCGUAAAACUCUGUUAUUGGGGAAGAACAUAUGUGUAAGUAACUGUGCACAUCUUGACGGUACCUAAUCAGAAAGCCACGGCUAACUACGUG